AUUGAACGCUGGCGGCGUGCUUAACACGUGCAAGUCGAUCGGUAACAGGUGUAGCAAUACAUGCUGACGAGAGGCGGACGGGUGAGGAAUAUUUGGGAAUCUGCCCAUCAGCGGGGGACAACCCGGGGAAACCCGGGCUAAUACCGCAUACGCUCUACGGAGGAAAGCCGGGGACCGCAAGGCCUGGCACUGAUGGAUGAGCCCAAAUCGGAUUAGCUAGUUGGCGGGGUAACGGCCCACCAAGGCGACGAUCCGUAGCUGGUCUGAGAGGACGAUCAGCCACACCGGAACUGAGACACGGUCCGGACUCCUACGGGAGGCAGCAGUGGGGAAUAUUGGACAAUGGGGGAAACCCUGAUCCAGCGACGCCGCGUGGGUGAAGAAGGCCUGCGGGUUGUAAAGCCCUUUCGGUAGGGACGAAAGCUCUUGCUCUAACAAAGCAGGAGG
rnacentral:rRNA from 1 species